GGGAGAUAAUGCAACACCCAGUGAUCGCUGGCAACUCUCAUGUUUCUUUGGAAUCCACCACGAGUUUAUUUCAGUUGAUGAGUUCCACUCUUGAUAAAAGUGAGAGAAUGUGAUCAGCUGUUUCCAAUUCAGCUUCUCUGAGGGACAGUUGUACACACCUCUACCAGAUCUUUCCCAGGAUGAAGACUCUACAUUCCUCAUUUCUUUGGGGCUUCCCGGCAGAAACAAAUACACAGGCCUCACAAAACUUGAAACAGAAGUAAUAAAGCACCAAAGAAGAGAUGUGAAAUUCUCCAUUUCAAAAUAAAAUCUUGCUGCUUUUGGCAGCUACUUCCCAGG
rnacentral:lncRNA from 1 species